AAAUCUCUGAUACAUACUGAUUCAAUUCUUUCUCUGUUAAAACAAACUUCGAGAAGUAUUGAGGAUUGUUGUACAAUACAACUGUGAAUAAUUAUUAAUUAAUUAAAAUAAAUAUUAAUUAUUAUACAAUUGAAAAUAAUACCGUUUAAAACAAGUACUCAUCUGUAUCUAUUAAACAAAGCGUGAACAAAAUUUUAUCAAAAAAAAUACACUCUUAAUAAAUGACAUAAGACUGUUUCUAGUUUUCAUGGAUAUCUAUUUUCGUUUUUCAAUAGAUUUUCUACUCACUUUCUAUCGUCCUGCAUCUAUAAUGCGUGCAGAAAUAACCGAGCAGAAAUAAGAACAGCGGAAAAUAUUUUUACAUUAAUAUAAUGUGAAGUCAAAAUAGCAACCAUUUUAUUAGCAAGAAGAAGACAAAAGCAGGAUGGUUUCCACAAAAGAAGAGUGGGGAUAUUAUGGAUUAUUUAAAUAUAUUGGCCGAUUUUCCCGCUUGUUUGGCUCAUUUCCGUUUAUAAUGUCAUCUGAACCAAAAGUCUCAACAUUGCAAAAGUACUAUGGAUUAUUUAUCAUCCUACCAUGGAUAAAUGCUGUUUUCUUCUAUUCUCUAUAUACAGAGAUUACGGACAUUACAGAAAAUUCUCGCCAUGCAUGGCCUGUGAUAUAUUUAAUUUAUACAGCAUUCUCAGUGUUGUAUAUCGAUAUGGCUGUUUGGACCGCACCAACCCGCAUUUAUUCCUGGAUAUCAUGUUUAAAGAAUAUUGAAAAGAUAUUAAUAAGAACUAAGGAAACAGAUCAAAAGGAAUUGUUUAAAUGUAAAGUGUUAACUGUUUACUUAAUAACUACAUUAUUUGCUAUAUUCGCAAAUUCUGUAAAGUUGUGUAUGGAAUUGGAUAAAUGCACGUACUUUAACUUUGCAUAUAAAUUUAAUGGUUUAUUCUUCUAUACUUUGUGUAGGAUCUGUGAAUUGUUUUUAUUCGUAAUAUUAAUAUUUCGGGUACAUAAAGCUACGAAAAUAAUGAAUGAAGAACUAAAAAAGCUUCUGCAUGAAAGAGACGUGAACAAUAGACUAAUUUUGCGGAACAAUUACAUGAUUGGGUCAAGGUUCGAAGGUAAAGUAAAAAAUAUAAAUUAAACAAUAUAAUUAAAAUAUUAAAUUAAAUAUUUAAGCCUGACACUAAGGAAACAUUUGUCAUAAAUUAUAAAUAUUUACGAAGAUUGAUAAUAUCAUAAAUUAUGUAAUAUUCCAAAUAAUUACCUUAUGAGAACUUUAAUUUAUUUAUUUUCUCUUUGACUCUCAGCCCAAAAGUUCAGCCAUGGAGAUGGAACUGAGAAAAUUCGCGAACUUAUUAAAUUCUAUACGACAGUAAAUGAUGUAAUUAAGACAGUGAUGGAGUCUGGGGAAAUGGGCUUAUUUUUAUACAUUAUGGGUAACCUUGUACGUUUGAUGACUAGGGCCAAUGACUAUGUUUAUUUGAAUUAUUCCUUCCAUGGGGAGAAUUUUGACGGAUCCUACAUGCUCGCAAGCAUCUUGGGAAUAUUCUGGUGUACCCAAAUUGUUGCGAAAUCAUUUCUGUUUUGCGAGGGACCUCAUCAAAUUCAACGCCAGUUGCAAGAAACUCAAGACAUAAUCGCGAGACUGAAGAAGAAAUAUCACGAGGAUAAUAUGUCAAAUGAGCUACACUUAUUUCUUCGUUUGACGAGGCUCAAUCGACCCACUUUUUCGCCGCUUAGCGUCUGUACUCUGAAUAGGGGUUUAGUUGCUAAGAUACUCGGAUGCGCUGCAACAUAUAUAUUGGCAUUCAUACAACUGGAAAUGUAUGAGAACUCAAAAAAGUAAGAAGAGUUUGGGUAUUAUAGUGCUAAAUAAAACAUUUUUUUCAAAAUGCACCUUAGUUUAUGUGUGUGCACAGAAUAGAUAGAAUAAUUUACAGAUUAAGAAAAUACGCUUUAAUUAAAAAUUGAAAAAAACAAUUAAAAAAUACAUCGUAUUCAUAGAUUAACAGAAGAUGUUUAAAAUAGAAUCUAAAGUAGUUUUAAAAAGAUUAUCCAAAUCGUAAUAGAACUGUAUUAUUCCAUUGACGGCAAACGAAGUACAUAAGUUAAGAUGGGAAUAAAAAGACUGAUAGACAGUGCUGAGUGUGAGGUAAUUUCCAGAAGACGAUGAGAAAGAUUAUAUGGUAUUAUUUUUUUUUGGAUAUAUUUUUCACAUUUAUCAAAAUUUAAAGUUAGACCUAUUGAAAUUAAAUUUCAUAUAAUCUUAAAGUACUACACCUGCGUUACCUCCUAGAGUACCAUCAUCAAGAAACCAGACGUUAAAAUUUGAUUUUAAAUUGUACACAAGAAUUUAUUGCGAGACUAAAAAAAAGCCGGCCCAAAAGGACCUCCUUGUUAACAACCAACUUCUGAAGAGAGUUCGUAAUUCUUGUUACUUUUGAUGGCUCUGAGUAACACUGUAAACGAUAAUUAUAUAUUUCUGGAAUAUACUUUUGUUAGAAUUCAAUAAAUUCAAAGUAAAUGUAUAUAUUCGUUAUAUGUAAUAACUGCAUAUAAUAUAGCAAUUAAAUAGCAAUACUUUGAAAGCAAAUAGAAGUGACAGUGUUUACAUUAAAAAUAAAUUUUGUCUAGAAGUUACUUGUUUAAUCACAAUGAAAAUAUCUUCUUACACAUCUCUCUCAUUUGUAGAAUAAGAUGUAUUGUAGCAAUUUUAACCAUUAAGGCAUAAAACACUCAUGACCGAAUUUGACUUGGGUAACUUUCGGUAUCAAUUCUUUCGUUGUGUAUUUCUAUAUUAAAUAAAAAUAUGGUUAAAUAAAAAAGCCUUUUUUCAAACUUCUUUACUAAACCUAUUCAGUACACGUAAAAUCCUUAUAAAUA